GACGAGCCUCACAAACGUUAUCCGGAAUUACUGGGCGUAAAGCGUCCGUAGGGGGUGUGAUAAGUGCAAUGUUAAACAUGCCGGCUCAACCGGUGAUUCGCAUUGUAUACUGUCAUGCUUGAGGUAUGCAGAGGUGUGUAGAAUUCCCAGAGUAGGGGUAAAUAUCCGUAGAUACUGGGAGGAAUACCAAUAGCGAAGGCAACACACUGGGCCAUCACCGUGA
rnacentral:rRNA from 1 species